rnacentral:rRNA from 1 species
UACAGAGGGUGCGAGCGUUAAUCGGAAUUACUGGGCGUAAAGGGCGCGUAGGCGGUGUAUUAAGUUAGAUGUGAAAUCCCUGGGCUUAACCUAGGAACUGCAUCUGAUACUGGUACGCUAGAGUGCUGUAGAGGGUAGUGGAAUUUCCGGUGUAGCGGUGAAAUGCGUAGAUAUCGGAAGGAACACCAGUGGCGAAGGCGGCUACCUGGACAGACACUGACGCUGAGGCGCGAGAGCGUGGGGAGCAAACAGG